CUGUUCCUCCCUCCACUUCAGUCUCCCUUCUCCCUCUCCACCCUCCCACGUGCCCUCUGAAUCACAAGUGAUUGAACAUAUUUGAGUAAUUCGAUGUUAGUAAACUGACAGAAAAGUUAUCACCUUGGCUGUAGUUUCAGCCCAGAGUAAUUUGUAAUAGCCAAAAUAUGUUAAAGCUUACGAACACAGCUCAAGCCAGAAAUGCUGUCAGCCAAAAAUAGGAAUGAGUAACUUGAGAAACAGCAAGUACUUAUUUGGUUCUCAUAGUUUAAGAAUUGUAAACUAAGAACUUUCUAUGUAAAGUUAGAAUGCCAGUCAAGGACCAUUUGACAUCUUAUGCUUAGUUCAUAAAUAGAAGAUUUCAUAAAAAGCAUCACAUAUUUUUAUUUCUUUAGGGCAUACUCUCAGAAUGCUUUCUCAUUGAGGAAUAGUAUUAGCUUAUAGGACUUUUUUCUCCCCUACAAAUUAACUUUGGACAUGUAUUUACAGGUCAAUGAAGAAGGCCUGACAAAUGAUCCUCUUCAGAUUUCAUUAUUAGUGUUAAAUAGCUCUUUACAGUACCUUCUAUGUGAAUGAUUUAGAAAGCAGUUCCCAAAAGGUUGGAGAACUCCAGGAAUUUGCAUCUUGGGAAAUGAUUUCUAUGUUCCAUUUAGUACUGGUAAUCUGGAUUCCUCUGUCUUUUGAAAUGGAAACUGUCCUAACCCCAUAACCUCAACAUCACUGUUCUUUUAUUCCAAGAUGAGCGAGGCACUAGAGUUACCAUCUUUGCUUGAGGAGGUUCAUACAUGUAGACAGUAUGAUGUUACAGCAAUGAAUACAGCUAAGGCAAACGUAGAGGGAAAAGUGCAUUUAAUGAACACAUGCCACCAUUUUGUUAGUGAUAUUGAGUGAUAACACCUUCCUUCUCAUCUGCCUUACUUCUCAGGUAAGUGAAGAUGAGACUUGGUAAGAAGAGCGUAAGUAUUCCUCCUACAGUAAAUAGAAUACUCAUGUUAGAGACUUGUUAACUGCUUAUGGUGAUAAUGUAUUCCCAUGUAUCCCUUUAUCCUUUCUAUUUAAGAAAGAAUAAAAAGCAUUAAAAUACAAUGUAGUCCAUAAGCAGAAACCAAGUAUGAAAAAUAAAUCCCAUGUGGAGCCUUAAAAACAAACUUAAACACUACCAGGUCUUCUAGUCUAUUGAAAUAUACCAUGACAAAAAAUACAUAGGCCUGGUUUACAGAAUUAAAUGUCAGGGAACCAAAAGGCAGUUUCAGGGGGGAAAAAAUCAAAAUUAAAAAAAAAUUAAAACUAAGUGUAUUUCUCACAUUUGUGAAGUAAAAAGAGCUGUGUCAUAUUCUAGGUAUUUAAUCUCACUAAAAGUGUGUGUGAUUUAAAACCAAGAAUAAAUGAAAUUGAUGUUUAUAGAGACCAAGAACAGAGAGGCUAUUUAUCUGUAGUUAGAACCUUGUGCUGUAGAGGGACUACUUCCAUUAGUUAUGCCUACCUGAAAGGACCUUAUAAGAGCUUUUAUCUUUUCAGACUUUGAGAACAGUGAAUGCCCUUUAACAGUGAAGGUUUCACAGGCUAUGCAAACAGCUGCCAGAGUUCAUAUACUCUAAUACCCCGGGUCCCAUUAAUGGACUGUGCCUAAACUGUGAUAAAUUAGAAUGUUGCCAUUUAUUAUGUAUCAUUCAUUAAAAACUAAUUAGAGGCAGAAAGAGGCAUUUCUCCAUUUUUCAGUGGGGGUUUUAUUUUAUCCCAUGUAGUAAGUGAUUAUUAUUUGGUCUAUAUAUGGCUGUUACAUACUACAAUGAAUUACCUGUAUUAAAGUAAUAAUACUGUAUGUUCACAUAGCCUUUGUUCUAGGGUAAAAGCACAAUUAAUCAUUCUAAGACCACAAUGAGGUAGUCGUUCCCAUAUUUCUUAUGUAUUAAGUGAUUUCUACUGUUAUCCAACCAGAAGUAAUAGAGUUAAAAGUAGAGGUGUGAAACAUUACUAUUUUUCUCACCCUGUGGUUAUAUAAAAUGUAAAUAUAGCUCAUUCUGUAAAUUGGGAUAAAUAUAUAUUUUAUAACUCAGAAAAUUUCUGAAAUAUCUAUACUUCUAUUUACUAGGAAAUCUAUGAGAAACUACAAUAAAGUUUAUUGUUGGUUUCUUAUAUACAGUGGUUAUUUCUUCUUUCAUAGUGACAGGAUAAAUGUUUUCCUACUAUUUAAAAUUUUACCUUCUUGGGGGCUUGGUAAGUGAGAUAUAUAAACUAUUGACAAGUUUUCUAAUUGAGAUGAACUGAAUAAAUACAUGAAAUGAGAGAUUAGAGUUUAUUUGCAAAGCACUGUCACAUAUAUUAAGUGUUAGUAUAUUGCUAUGGUUGCUUUUAUUGUAGUUGAACAACAUAGAGAUAAGUAGUAGAAGAAAAACAGUAUUUAUACAUAUAAAUAGAAUGAAGAAAGAAAUCCAAGACAAGAAUAAAUCCUUGUUUUAUGUAAAUAGAAGACUGAAAAUAAAGCAAAUAAGAAAGAAAGGGGAUUACAAAUUGCCAAACGUAAAAAUAUUAACCAAUAAGUGUAAUAAAAACAGUUCAUUGAAGAAACUUUCAAAAUAAAUAAGAAUGAAGAUGUUAAGCAGAAUGUAAUCUAAUGUUUUAUAUAUCCAUUAUCUUCUUUAAGCUUUUUUGGCGUAGCAAAAGAGCAUGAUCUUUUCCAGAAGUGUUCACAGCACAGUAAAAUUUCUAUAAGCUUUGUACAUUAUCACCCUAAUCCUCCCAUUAUCAACACUCCUGUGUGGUUUCUGUCAAGAGUUAUUGCCCUUGUUUGAUGGAGAAGCUGAAUCACAGUGGAGAUCACUGACUUUGUCAAGGUCAAUGGUGAGUCAGGGACAGAAAUACAACCUAGAGGUUUUUUUUAUUCCCAAGUAUUGUGGCCUCUUUAUACCCAUUUCUCUGUCUAUUGUUAUCUUGGAUUUCCUAGAGCCCUUAUUCUAUUUAGACACCAUUCAAGGUAUUUAGAUAACACAAGUACCUGAAAAGCCAUGUUUCAAGAAUAUUUCAUCACUAAACAUUGUUCCACUCUAAAAACAUUAGGAUAUAUGUUACCUUUUCUUUGUACCUCUUAUUUUUUAGAUUGGUAAUUUUAAACAUAUUUUGUUUAAUCAUUUUUAACACAUUGUACACAUUUAACCUUAUUAAUGUGUACAAUGUAGAGUAACGUACCCCCUCCCCUCCAAAAAAAUUUUUUUAAAUUAAACAAAUCUAGUAGAUUCAUGAAUUCUAAUCCUUUCCUUGCUGCUCUUAGUUUCCUUAUUUACAAGAAGAUAUUUUCAGAGAUCUUAUUUUUGCCCAUGUUUGUGGGUCAAGUGUUUGAUCUUCACUUUAAUUUUUAAACAAAAUUAUAGAAAUACAUAAAUAUGCAUACGUACAUAGAUAUACCACACACAUGCAUGUAUUAACAUGAGUAUUAGUCCUUUUUGAAUGUUUAGUUUUUCCUAUUUUUUCUCAGACUCUGUAAUUCAUUUAGGAUAUGUUCUUUUAUAAAAGAGAAAAACUCAUACCCAAGAUAGAGUGAUAGUUUAUGGAGUUACCAGUCUUGUAGUUCAAAUUCCUUAGUGUAUAUUAGACAAUGAAAACGCUGAUUUCCUUUACUCCUUUAAAUUUCUUUGUGCUAGGGUUAAACUGCUUUAAGGAAUAUAUUGCUGUUAUUUAAUGCUGCCUUUUUGAAAUAUUGAUAGAGUGUUUUCUUUUUCCUGGAAUUUAAAGAUACACUCAGCUUAUAGUCAAGAAAUUUGUUUUUCUUAUGUUCUCCCUUUUGGAUUUUGAUUAAGCAUGAACAGAAGUUUUACUAUCUGUCACCAGAAAUAAACAUUUCAACACAAAUAAGUUUUUGUGGCAUUUUCUUAGGAUAUCACCAGCCUAAGUACAUAGAUUUCCAGAGAUUGAGAAGUUGAGAGAAGCAAAUUGUUGACACUGCUCACUUUAUUUAUGAUAGAACAAACUCUUGUUUUUCUAAGUACUGUGCAAUAUACUAACAUAUUAUGCAAAUUCAUUUUUAAAACUAGCCUUUGAACAAAAGACACAUUGUUUUUAAAAAUGUAUGUAGCUCAUUUUAUUCAAAAAUUUUUAAAAAAAUCCUUCUAACUCUAUAAUACAGUGUUAUAGUUUUACAUAGCUGGCAGUGAAAACCAUAAAAUUGUUCCCAACCAUUAUUUAUCUUUUUUUCUUGGCUAUGGUGCCAAAUAAAACCUAAGAUUCAGUAUAAUCAGAACAAUUCAUGAAAAUAAUUAUCUGAGAACAUUUCAUGUGCAAGACAGCACUAGAGGGCGCUCUUCAGCAGGUUGCUAGAGACAGUCUUAGUGGUAUCAGAGCCUGGCUUGGUGAUAGAGGUAAAGAUUUGAGGAGCUGGGGAGUGGGGGUGGGGUGGGGAAUGGCAUUUAACCUCUUAUAAGAUCUAUUCUUCCCAAAGACUGGAAAAUCAGCAAUGUCAGUGAAACUAUGUCUCUUAAAACACGUGCUUAGAAUUUUCCAUGAAGCAUGUAUUUCUUAGAGCUGAAUAAUCUUAGUUACCUCCAUGUAAGUGUCUCCCCUCUUUACGUAAACUAAGGGUAGUAUUUAUUACUUUAUUUUUUUAAAAUUAACUAUUAUAAGGUUAUUACCUCUAUGUUUCUGUUUAUACAAUAUUGUUUUCUACAGAAGAUAGAAAAACUAAUAAAUUUUGGUACUUCUUUUCUGAAAAAAAAAAAGUGUAUUUUUUCAAAAC